GCGGGUGUGGUGUAUGGUACACAGCUGUCUCCGUUCGAGGUCCCGACGCUUGCAGACAGCAGGAACCAGGUUCGAUUCCUGGCAUCCGCA